rnacentral:rRNA from 1 species
GGGGGGGGCAAGCGUUGUUCGGAAUUACUGGGCGUAAAGGGCUCGUAGGUGGCCAACUAAGUCGGACGUGAAAUCCCUCGGCUUAACCGGGGAAUGGCAUCCGAUACUGGAUGGCUUGAGUUUGGGAGAGGGACGCGGAAUUCCAGGUGUAGCGGUGAAAUGCGUAGAUAUCUGGAGGAACACCGGUGGCGAAGGCGGCGUCCUGGACCAAUACUGACACUGAGGAGCGAAAGCCAGGGGAGCAAACGGGAUUAGAUACCCCGGUAGUCCUGGCCCUAAACGAUGAAUGCUUGGUGUGGCGGGUAUCGAUCCCUGCCGUGCCGAAGCUAACGCAUUAAGCAUUCCGCCUGGGGAGUACGGUCGCAAGGCUG